AUACAUGAGAGUUUGAUCCUGGCUCAGGAUGAACGCUGGCGGCGUGCUUAACACAUGCAAGUCGAACGGAGCUAUGACACGGAGUCUUCGGAUGAAGUGCUGUAGCUUAGUGGCGGACGGGUGAGUAACACGUGAGCAACCUACCUUUUGCAGGGGAAUAACUCUGGGAAACCAGAGCUAAUACCGCAUGCCGUGCGCUUGGGGCAUCCCAGGUGCAUGAAAGGAGCAAUCCGGCAGAAGAUGGGCUCGCGUCCGAUUAGGUAGUUGGAGAGGUAAUGGCUCCCCAAGCCGACGAUCGGUAGCCGGACUGAGAGGUCGAUCGGCCA
rnacentral:rRNA from 1 species